AGCGAACGCUGGCGGCAUGCCUAACACAUGCAAGUCGAACGAGACCUUCGGGUCUAGUGGCGCACGGGUGCGUAACGCGUGGGAACCUGCCCUUAGGUUCGGAAUAACUCCCCGAAAGGGGUGCUAAUACCGGAUAAUGUCUUCGGACCAAAGAUUUAUCGCCUUUGGAUGGGCCCGCGUUGGAUUAGCUAGUUGGUAGGGUAAAAGCCUACCAAGGCGACGAUCCAUAGCUAGUCUGAGAGGAUGAUCAGCCACACUGGGACUGAGACACGGCCCAGACUCCUACGGGAGGCAGCAGUGGGGAAUAUUGGACAAUGGGCGAAAGCCUGAUCCAGCAAUGCCGCGUGAGUGAUGAAGGCCUUAGGGUUGUAAAGCUCUUUUACCCGGGAUGAUAAUGACAGUACCGGGAGAAUAAGCUCCGGCUAACUCCGUG
rnacentral:rRNA from 1 species